rnacentral:rRNA from 1 species
AAUGAACGUUGGCGGCAUGGAUUAGGCAUGCAAGUCGAGCGAGAAGUGUAGCAAUACACGGAAAGCGGCGGAAGGGAGAGUAAUACGUGGGAAUCUGCCCUUAGACCUGGGAUAGCAGCGGGAAACUGCUGGUAAUACCAGAUAAUGUCUAUGGACCAAAGGUGUGAUUCCGUCUAGGGAUUAGCCCACGUCCUAUUAGCUAGUUGGUAGGGUAAUGGCCUACCAAGGCGAUGAUGGGUAGCGGGUGUGAGAGCAUGACCCGCCUCACUGGGACUGAGACACUGCCCAGACACCUACGGGUGGCUGCAGUCGAGAAUCUUCGGCAAUGGGCGCAAGCCUGACCGAGCGAUGCCGCGUGCGGGAUGAAGGCCUUCGGGUUGUAAACCGCUGUCGAGGGGGAGCAACUUCCAUAGAGUUAUCUUUAUGGAUUGAGUGAUCCCUGGAGGAAGGACGGGCUAAGUUCGUGCCAGCAGCCGCAGUAAGAC